rnacentral:rRNA from 1 species
UACGUAGGGUGCGAGCGUUGUCCGGAAUUACUGGGCGUAAAGAGCUCGUAGGUGGUUUGUCGCGUUGUCCGUGAAAACUCACAGCUCAACUGUGGGCGUGCGGGCGAUACGGGGCAGACUGGAGUACUGCAGGGGAGACUGGAAUUCCUGGUGUAGCGGUGGAAUGCGCAGAUAUCAGGAGGAACACCGGUGGCGAAGGCGG